rnacentral:snoRNA from 1 species
AAGACUGUACUUUCAGGGAUCAUUUCUAUAGUUCAUUACUAGGGGAGUUUCUCUGAAUGUGCAGAGCCCAGAUAUA